UAUUUUUAAAAUUUGUGCACUAAUACGUGUAUAGUAAUAUAUAGAUUGAGCAUGUAACAAUAAUAUUAUUGUAUUUAUGUCGCGAGAAAAUUUUACAUUAUGUACCUCUUAACUAAUUUCUAGGCAUAUCACAUGCAAAAAAUUACAGCCAAGGUGAUACACUGAAGGCUGUAAAAUAUCUACCAUGUCAUAUAUUUCAGAACUAAUAUUAAGCGUACUGAAGUCUGUAGCAAUAUUCUAUGGUACAUAUUCACCCGUAAACUAUAGCGGGAGUUUCAAAAUAACCCUACGAGUUUAUGUUUAAAUUACCCCCUCCAUUCCAAAUUACCUAGUGUAUUAGGUUUAUUAGGACACACAUUUGACCAACAAUUAAUAUAUUAGUACAGAAGUUAUGUAACAUAAAGUUUUCUUUUUGCGAAAAUGUGUGACAUAAAGUUGGUAUAUCAUCAGAUUUGUAUCUUUGAGUACUUAUUUGUAAUUAUAAUUUAUUGUCACGAAAGUUACGUCAUAGUAGUGUAAUUGUUGGUAAAAUGCUUGUCCUAACAAAAGCUAAUGCUUCCCGCAAAAAAGAGAGCCUAAGAGCAUCUCCAAUAGGCGCGCUAUACAAGCGCCGCGCCGUAAAAAAGACAGUUUUAGCGCGCGCAACGCGCGGGCAGCUUCAACGGGCGCGCAAAAACGGCGCGCGCGUCAUUUCCAGUUCAGCGUGUUGACCGAAACGCAAUCCCGCGCCCCUUAUUUGCUGCACCGGCUCCCGCGCGCGCGACUCUCCCGCGCUCGCCCCUGCUCUCUUCCGCGCUCCCGCGCUCGCUCCCCCCCAUCCGGCCGCGCCGUCGCCGCCGCUCGCGCCCCCGGCGACCGUUCAGCGCUUCCCCGGCCUAUCCCCGCGCCGUCGUCGCCGCCCGCGCCCGCCGACGACCACUCAGGCGCUUCCCCGGC
rnacentral:lncRNA from 1 species